UUGAACGCUGGCGGCAGGCCUAACACAUGCAAGUCGAGCGGAUGAAGGGAGCUUGCUCCUGGAUUCAGCGGCGGACGGGUGAGUAAUGCCUAGGAAUCUGCCUGUUAGUGGGGGAUAACGUCCGGAAACGGGCGCUAAUACCGCAUACGUCCUGAGGGAGAAAGUGGGGGAUCUUCGGACCUCACGCUAUCAGAUGAGCCUAGGUCGGAUUAGCUAGUUGGUGGGGUAAAGGCCUACCAAGGCGACGAUCCGUAACUGGUCUGAGAGGAUGAUCAGUCACACUGGAACUGAGACACGGUCCAGACUCCUACGGGAGGCAGCAGUGGGGAAUAUUGGACAAUGGGCGAAAGCCUGAUCCAGCCAUGCCGCGUGUGUGAAGAAGGUCUUCGGAUUGUAAAGCACUUUAAGUUGGGAGGAAGGGCAGUAAGUUAAUACCUUGCUGUUUUGACGUUACCAAAAGAAUAAGCACCGGCUAACUUCGUG
rnacentral:rRNA from 1 species